UGGGCAAGCAACGUCUCUCAAAUGUCUAAACGACUCUCGGCAACGGAUAUCUCGGCUCUCGCAUCGAUGAAGAACGUAGCGAAAUGCGAUACUUGGUGUGAAUUGCAGAAUCCCGUGAACCAUCGAGUCUUUGAACGCAAGUUGCGCCCGAAGCCUUCUGGCCGA
rnacentral:rRNA from 1 species